rnacentral:rRNA from 1 species
UUACCCGACUUAGCUGAGAGGUGGUGCAUGCCGUCGUCAGUUCGUACUGUGAAGCAUCCUGUUAAGUCAGGCAACGAGCGAGACCCACGUCCACAGUUGCCAGCAUACCCUCCGGGGUGGAUGGGUACACUGUGGAGACCGCCGCUGCUAAAGCGGAGGAAGGAGUGGGCAACGGUAGGUCAGUAUGCCCCGAAUCUCCCGGGCUACACGCGGGCUACAAUGGUUGGUACAAUGGGCAUCUACCCCGAAAGGGGAAGGAAAUCUCUUAAAGCCAAUCGUAGUUCGGAUUGAGGGCUGCAACUCGCCCUCAUGAAGCUGGAAUCCGUAGUAAUCGCGUUUCAACAGAACGCGGUGAAUACGUCCCUGCUCCUU